rnacentral:rRNA from 1 species
GGGUCAGUAGGUUGGUCGUGCCACCGGUACGUACUGGUCUCACUGAUUCCUCCUUCCUGAAGAACCGUAAUGCCAUUAAUUUGGUGUUGCGGGGAAACAGGACUGUUACUUUGAAAAAAUUAGAAUGUUUAAAGCAAGCUGACGCUUGAAUACAUUAGCAUGGAAUAAUGAAAUAGGACGAUCGAUCCUAUUUUGUUGGUUUCUAGGAUUGACGUA